UACGAAGGGGGCUAGCGUUGCUCGGAAUCACUGGGCGUAAAGCGCACGUAGGCGGAUUGUUAAGUCAGGGGUGAAAUCCUGGAGCUCAACUCCAGAACUGCCCUUGAUACUGGCGAUCUCGAGUCCGGGAGAGGUGAGUGGAACUGCGAGUGUAGAGGUGAAAUUCGUAGAUAUUCGCAAGAACACCAGUGGCGAAGGCGGCUCACUGGCCCGGUACUGACGCUGAUGCACGAAAGCGUGGGGAGCAAACAGG
rnacentral:rRNA from 1 species